rnacentral:rRNA from 1 species
AUUGCACGCUAGCGGGAUGCCUUACACAUGCAAGUCGAACGGAGUGGCGAACGGGUGAGUAAUGUAUCGGAACGUGCCCAGUAGCGGGGGAUAACUACGCGAAAGCGUAGCUAAUACCGCAUACUAUUGGAGCGGCCGAUAUCGGAUUAGCGAGGUGGUGGGGUAACGGCUCACCAAGGCGACGAUCCGUAGCUGGUUUGCGAGGACGAACAGCCACACAGGGGCUUAGACACGGCGCAGACGACUACGGGAGGCAGCAGUGGGGAAUUUUGGACAAGGGGGGAAGCCCUGAUCCAGCCAUCCCGCGUGUGCGAUGAAGUCCUUCGGGUUGGAAAGCACUUUUUGCAGGAAAGCGGUACCUGCAGAAUAAGCACCGGCUAACUACGUGCCAGCAGCCGCGGUAAUAC